rnacentral:lncRNA from 1 species
GUCAAAGAGCCUUUUAUAAAUUCAACUCUUUUCGCCAUUUUUUUAUUUUACUCUUUUUUAACGAAAUUUACGAAAUUAACGAAUAAGUUUUUAUCCAACCAUUUUUGCAUGUAUUUACUUUUCACCAGCUCAACUUCGAAAUAGUUUAUCAAAACGCAAAACGAGUAAAGGCCAUCAAGAGCGAGCCAACAGCCUUUCGAGUGUAAAGAAUGCUAAGGGUUGCUCUCUGCUCGCUCGAAUGGAUCCUACCUCGCCUGCAUAGCUCCGGCGAUGAGCGUCAGAAGCAGCAAAACCAUCAGCAACAGCAGCAGCAGCAAUAACACAGCCUUCAAGGUCGUCAGACAAGUUCACUCUGUACGCCGACAAAUGGAAGCCAUGAAUGAAGGAAUGAAUGAAUGAAUGAACGAGUGAGUGAGGGAGAGACUCGCACGAGUAAAAUAAAAGUCGGUUUGUGUGGAAAUUGCAUAAGCUAACCAACACAAACGUCGCACUGACUGCUGACUGGCUGACCACCGCCUCCUACCAUACCAAGGCCUAUCUGUAGCUGUGUAUCAGUGCCGCGCUUUCAUGCGUCUGUUUUUGGCUCUGAACACUAAGAACACUGCGAAAUGGAAGACGGCAGUUCUCGGAAUAUUGAGAAUUAAUUGUAAUAAGGAAAACAUAAAGAUGAAUGAUGAAAGAGCAACUCCAUAUAUUUGUAUGAAUAUAUGUACAGAUGUAUGUAUUAUAUCUAAGUAUUUAAAGAUAAACAACCCGCUGCAGUAGGAAACAACAAACAAACAUUUAAGAGAAAAAAAUUUAAAUAUAACACAAAAAAAGACAACAAUAAAAAGAGAGAAAAAGUAGUUAACGGAAAGAUAAAGCAGAAGUAGGAAAGGAAAGUCUUUUACUACUACCUCGAGGCAAGCCAAACGCAGCAUACGGACCUACGAGUAUUCUCAUUCACAUCCAAGUUGCACAUAAGAGAAUUGCACGUAAUCCACAGCCGUGUAAUAAGAACAAUUUAGAACAGCGAACUAUUUGGUGGACAAAAAUCCAGUUCUCAGCGUAGAGUUAGAAAUAGUUGGCCUAAGCAGGACUCUUAAGUACUCUUCUGCCUAAAUUUCUCAUUAAAGCGCACAAAGCCUUUUUCUUUAACCUGAAACCCAGAGGAAAAGCUAAAAAGGAUUUUUAAAUGAGUGCAUAAUAGAAUGAGUUUUGUAAACCGAGAGCAAAAUACAAAGAGUACGAACUCCAAGGCUACAUAAAGGAAGAAAAGUGAAAAAGCAAAAACAACUCUUAAUUGCCAAAUGUAUUGUCAACCAAGAGCCGGCAAUAAGUCUCGUAGAGGACUAAUGAAAACAGCUUACAGAAACGUGGGCAACAGAGCACUACACAAAAGUGAGGCAAAGCAAACAAAGGUGUGCCAAAGAGAUGGAAGAAAUUACAAACAAGCAAAGAAUGGGAGAAAUUUAAAGCAAAUUUAGGUCUAGAGAAGAACAAGAAAGAGAUCUCAGCUCCUCCUCCAGUCAAAUCGAGUUUGUUAUAAGUCGCCUCUGAACGGGCGAUAGAUUUUUGGGAGGUGCCUCGGAGAUAUUGGUCGAAGCAGGCCUUCCAAAUGUCGUACGCCAUGCCAACCACUCAGCUCUUGCGUUCGCUUUUGAUUUGGAAAGGAUAUUUAAUGUCGCUGCAUACAGAGACUUUAAGUCCAGAAUGUCAAAGAAAAAACAGUUAUUUUCCUAGUUUUCUAUCAUAUUUUUUCCA